AUUGGACGCUGGCGGCAGGCCUAACACAUGCAAGUCGAGCGGAUGAAGGGAGCUUGCUCCUGGAUUCAGCGGCGGACGGGUGAGUAAUGCCUAGGAAUCUGCCUGGUAGUGGGGAUAACGUCCGGAAACGGGCGCUAAUACCGCAUACGUCCUGAGGGAGAAAGUGGGGGAUCUUCGGACCUCACGCUAUCAGAUGAGCCUAGGUCGGAUUAGCUAGUUGGUGGGGUAAAGGCCUACCAAGGCGACGAUCCGUAACUGGUCUGAGAGGAUGAUCAGUCACACUGGAACUGAGACACGGUCCAGACUCCUACGGGAGGCAGCAGUGGGGAAUAUUGGACAAUGGGCGAAAGCCUGAUCCAGCCAUGCCGCGUGUGUGAAGAAGGUCUUCGGAUUGUAAAGCACUUUAAGUUGGGAGGAAGGGCAGUAAGUUAAUACCUUGCUGUUUUGACGUUACCAACAGAAUAAGCACCGGCUAACUUCGUG
rnacentral:rRNA from 1 species